UGAAAUUUCAAGUUCCAUAACUUCUCUGAGGCAUCACUUUGCUACACACACCAAAAUCCAGUAUCACACUUCUGCGACGCACUCUCAAACUUCUUUCUACCAAAAUCAUACGCACCUAAAAUCUUUUUUCACCCAAAAUUUUAAGCAAGCAGACAGAAAAAUUUUCCAUCUUUCCUAGCGAGUUUCAAGCAAGCAUUUUUCAAGAAGGAGAAUUUCAAGCAGAAGCACUUCUAAAUAAACCUUUUAUCGUUCUUUUGAGGUCCAUCGCAAGGAAUUUAACUCCAAGUGGGUUAAUAUUGUCAUACGGAGUAAGAAGCAUACGAGGUUGAGCUGUGAUGGAGGGAAGGGUGCUAAUUAAACCAGACCUACUUAUAGUUCCAUUCAAUACUCUCGGAGGUUCGUGUCUUCAUACAUGGAACCGCGUUCAGUUCCUUCCGCUGUGCAUUAAAGCAAGUGAAAUUCUUUAUUUCUCUAAAGACUCUGAUAAUUAACCAGUAUAUUGUAUUGUCCCCGACUCGAGUCAUUGUGAUCGAGCCAUUCUAUUCAUGUAUUCAAUGUUUAUACUCUA